UACGUAGGGGGCAAGCGUUGUCCGGAAUCAUUGGGCGUAAAGAGCGUGUAGGCGGCUUGGUAAGUCCGCUGUGAAAGUCCAGGGCUCAACCCUGGAAAGCCAGUGGAAACUGCCAAGCUAGAGUCCGGAAGAGGCGAGUGGAACUCCUGGUGUAGCGGUGAAAUGCGCAGAUAUCAGGAAGAAUACCAAUGGCGAAGGCAGCUCGCUGGGACGCGACUGACGCUGAGACGCGAAGGCCAGGGGAGCAAACGGG
rnacentral:rRNA from 1 species